GCUGAGGCUUCUAGCCAUUAAUUAGCAUGCUGGCAUUGUUUGCACGAAUCAUGCCUCCACAGCCCUGUUCUGAUGGAAAGCAGUGAAAAGAGCCCUUUCCAGCUUUCUUCUUCAAUACUGAGCCACUGGUUCCCCAGCUGCUCGGGAGGAUGUCAGCUCAUGGCUUGCCUACUGACUUCCUCUCUGGGAAUUGCCUUGGCCUAGGAGUGCUGCCUUCCCAGUACAGACUAACUUUGAUAACCGGUAAGGAAUUUGGCCCAGAAUUAAGUAAGAGAACAUGAAGGUAUGAUUUAAACAAUCAUGGGUUGAGAGUGAAUUUAGAAUAAUAAUGCAAUACUGAAGCAGAAUUAAAUGGAGAUGCUGAGACUGCCUCCAGUUGGAAAAAAAAAAUGAAA